GUGCCAGCAGCCGCGGUAAUACGUAGGGACCAAGCGUUGUUCGGAUUUACUGGGCGUAAAGGGCGCGUAGGCGGCGUGACAAGUCACUUGUGAAAUCUCUGAGCUUAACUCAGAACGGCCAAGUGAAACUGUUGUGCUAGAGUGCAGAAGGGGCAAUCGGAAUUCUUGGUGUAGCGGUGAAAUGCGUAGAUAUCAAGAGGAACACCUGAGGUGAAGACGGGUUGCUGGGCUGACACUGACGCUGAGGCGCGAAAGCCAGGGGAGCAAACGGGAUUAGAUACCCUCGUAGUCC
rnacentral:rRNA from 1 species